UAUUCAGCACCAUGUGAGGGUCACUGUGAGAUCUGUAAAUGGUAAGCCAACUCGUAAUAGUAGGAGGCUGUGAGUAAGAUCAACUAUUUUUGUGUAAAAGGAUCCUUUAGAAGCUGGUGGUGUGCCAUUCUUAAACGCACCAUCAAAGUUCCCUGCGCAAAGAAGUCCCGUGCAGUUUGUUUGUAGGGUGAGGGACAUUUUAGAGAAAGUCCUCUCCAUUUGUUCACAAACACAGACUUUUACUGGCUGGCUUUCCUCAUAUUAAGGAGUAAUUAGGGAGAGGUUUAGACUUCACAGUAUACAGACUUGAACAGCCUACAGACAUGCUCGCUUUACACGAGUCCCUUCUUAAUAAUUGUCUGAGUUUACAUAAAUGAAGCUGAGCAUUUAAUAAGUAAAUUGGCAAGGUAGGACAUCACCUACACCUUUGGGAACAUUGUUACUAACACAGGACCAUAGGUAUUAAGAGUUUCAAAGGCUAAAAGUGACCCUUUAAAAGCCAACAGGUUUAACCAUUCAGUGAGCACCACCAUGGAAUGCAGCUUGACUUCAUCAAAGGCAGAGCAGAGCUUCUAAAGGUGAUUUUGUUGUUUUGAGCUGGUCAUACCUCCACUCAAGCCCUCGAUAUUUAUUCAUUCCUUAGCUGAAGAGUUCACAGUUUCUAGAUUACCUGCAUAAGGAACUGGGGGUAAAGUGAAGUUCCCAAAUUACAUUAAAAUCUGUAUCAGAAUCUCUUUGGAGACCCAGUGAGUAUAUGCAGGGCAUACGGUGCUUCAUAGGUCCCAGGCAGGCCAACUCAUAAUUCCUUUAGAUGCUGUCCUUCAGAGCCAUGCUAGUGAAGGGUACUGAGCCCAAGGGGGGUUGCCAUUAGAAGUGCCUUGCUUGGCUCUCUGCCCCGCUGCCAGUAACACAGACUGAAUGGGACUCUGUAUUAAUAGCCUUUGAAAUAUUCUUAAUUUUCAUUUCUCCAUCUUGUAAGCAGAGUGAAGACCAAAAGAAAUUUGGGAAAAAAAUAAUAACAAAGUCCAGGAAAAUACACGGCAGCAACAUGUUUGGAGAAGUUUGGGACACAUGGAAUAUAUAUAUUAUCAAUAAGUAGUAUCUAGUUGGUACAAAGUAUUGCUCUAUGCUUUGAAGGUUUAGUGAGGAACAAGGAGGGACAAGGUUUUGUUUCCCAAGGAACUUACUAGUCAAUGUGUCUCCCUCAAAGAACAUAUAUUGAUGACACAAUAUCCAGAUCCACAGGUCCACGACUGAUGGAGACGGGUCCUUUGGGAGGUAGGCAUAUUAAGUGAUGAGUUUGUAGCCCCAUGAUGACAUUGGUGGCUUUAUGAGAAAAUGACAAGCUUUCUUGUUACCUCUUUCUCACCACGUGAUACCUACCCUCUGUCUUGUUAGGAUGUAGCAGGAAGGGCCUUGCUGGAUGGAACCAUGCUCUCAGCCUUCAGACCACAGGGAUAACUUUAUUUAUAAAUUCCUCAGUCUGUUAUAGCAGCAGAUAGUAGACAAGGCAGGAUGUUCCAGAGUACAAAGACAUGAAUGUGAAGUUUCUUACUGUUGUAAACACAGGGAGACAAUUGAACAGGGUAAUGGGAUGAUGUGGUAUUUGUGUGUGGUAUCUUACUUCACAUUCAGUUAUCAGGAGUGAUCAAGGGUAAGAAUUGGGUUUGCCCCAAGUAUCAAAAAAAUAGUUAUGGAAAAAUAUCAGAGCAUGGCAGUUAGGAGUCUCAGCAGUUAAGCUUGCUGGCUGCUCCUCCAGAGGACCUGGGUUCAAUUCCCAGCACCCACGUGGUGGUUCACAACCAUCUAUAAGUAAUCCCAGGGGAUGUGAGUCUCCUUCGGCCUUGCAGGCACUGUGCUGCAUACACGCAUUACACGAUGUAUAAGCAGGCAGAACACCCAUACACUUAAAUAUUUCUUAAAAAAAUAAAAUGAUGUCUGUGGUUCAGAUAAAAAGGUGCUUUCCAACUCAGAAGAGCUCUGUGUGCAGUGUCACUCUCCCAGAGUCCCUGGCAGUGUGCUCCUGAGGGCCUCUCAUCUCAUGCUGUGUCAGUGGUGCUUGAGAAAGCCAUGCACUACAACAGCAAGGAUCUCCAGUCCUGCCAGGCCACGGGGAAGUUGCUUAACACUAUUCAUGCCUCUCAGGAGCUAUGAAACCUGUAGUCAGGACAUAGCCAUGGCCUGACACACUGACUGGCCGAGUCAGAAAGAACUUGACUCCUACCAAAUAGGAAGGGAAGAGAAAGGUUUCAGGGACAUAGAGAGUUGGGGUGCUGGUGGAGAUGAAGUUAGAGAAGUGGGCAAGACCUAGCUUAUGAGUGGGGUUGUGCUGUUUUAUAAGUAUGGCAGGAAAUGUUAGAGAGCUGUGGCUGGACAGGGGACUUGACUGGCUCCACUUGCUCAUUUCUUUUUUAAACAGGAGACAAUGCUGGUGAGUCCAGUGUAGUGAUUCAGGAGAGACCUGAGAGAUGGUGUGAAGAUAAGAGCUUCCGCUUGGAAGAAGGCACAGCUAACCCGGCUUUCUAGUGAGCUGUGGCUUUGGUGGUCUAUCUCAAAGUGUGCUCUCCACAGUCUCCCUUUCACAAGCUAACAAAGCUCUGUGGUGACAGAAAUGAAACAGUUCCAAAGAUUCUGGACUCAUCUGUGUGGCCUUGAAACCAUCUAUCAUGAAACCAUGACAACAGAUAACUGAAGCUGGCAUGGCAAGAAGCUAAUGGUCAGGGCUGCUCUCAGGCCCAGAGAACAUUGCAGAAGAGGCAGCAGAGAGAUCAAGAGCCUGAGGAUGGAGAAGAGUUGCUAUGACACUGUCUUCUAGAUAUGACGUGGCUGUUGUCAAACCUUGUCCUGACACACAGUCUUUCCACAUGGAUCCAAGCUCACAGAUUAGACUGGAUGGCUGGCCAGCAAGCUCCAGGGAUCCACCCGUUGCACCUUCUCAUGCUCUGGGAUUACAGAUAUACCUGGUUUUACAUUAGGAUGCUGAGGAUCAAACUCAGGUCCUCAUCCUUGCUCAGCAAGCACUGUACCAACUGAGUUAUCGCCCCACCCCCUCUUUCUUUGACCUUGGGUGAACUGGAAGGUUCUGGAAAUAUACCCAGAUUGAAAGAUUCAUCAGAUUAAGGAAGAGACCGGAAGUAGUGACAAGAUCCCUGAAUUCACACAGUAAGCUAUCAGCAGUGAUACGGGGCAGGAUAUGACAGAAAUAGGCAGCUCCUUCAUAACCUUUGUCAUAGAAAAUAGACCUUACCCACCUCAAAACAUGGCAACCCUCGCCUUUAGAGCAGUGGUCAGCUGACCGCAGCCUAACCUAGCCAGGUGAUUGUUUUUCAAUGGCCUGUGAACUGAAAAUGGUUUUUGCAUGUAUCAGAAAAAAAAGUCAAAAUACAUGUAAUAUUUCUUAACAGAUAGCAAAUUCUGUAAAAGUCUGAUUUGAGGGUUCCUGAAUACAAUGAGUUGCACUGGAGCAUAGCUACUCC